rnacentral:rRNA from 1 species
UACGUAGGGGGCAAGCGUUGUCCGGAUUUAUUGGGCGUAAAGAGCGUGUAGGCGGCUUGGUAGGUCCGCUGUGAAAACUCGAGGCUCAACCUCGAGAUGUCGGCGGAAACCACUUGGCUAGAGUCCGGAAGAGGAGAGUGGAAUUCCUGGUGUAGCGGUGAAAUGCGCAGAUAUCAGGAAGAACACCUAUGGCGAAGGCAGGUCUCUGGGCCACUACUGACGCUGAGAAGCGAAAGCAUGGGGAGCGAACAGG